GAGAAAGUUCGGCACUUUUAACGAUAAGCUCGGAACGAGUACACGCAUGUAGCUGGUGUUCGACCUCCUGCAAUAGGGCUUCUAGCUGCUCAGUUUCUUGGGUGAAUCCUCACUUCGUGAGUUUGAUAUGCCAACGGCUUGGAGUGUGUCCAGUUGCUGAGUGACUUCUUCAACCCAACGACAAUUAACAAGUUCAUGGAGAUGGAGAGAGGCCCGACAAUGAGGACAUUGGGAACGUUGUUCAGUCAACCAACGUCUGAUACAGACGUAGCAACACAAUUUACUACAGUGUGGACAAAGAACCUGGUAGUUGCGAACAAAGUUGUUCCAUGUUCACUUGUCAUAUGUAAUGACAACAGAGGAGAAUUCCCGAGGCAAUUUUGAACAAGGUAAAACUAUUCUGCCAAUUAAUGAGUGAAGAAUUUUUAAUUUGUCAGUUAUAUGUCAAGGCUCUCUUUUUGUUUUCAACAAUUGACAAUGACCAG
rnacentral:misc_RNA from 1 species